rnacentral:lncRNA from 1 species
CGCGCACCGCCGCACCUGCGGGCUCUCGCCCCGGCGUCUGCGGGACCCGAGGGCUCUGAGCGCGCUGCCGCCCUCCCGCGCCGCCCUCGCACACGCAGAUCCCACUUUUAAAGAAUCCGAAGCGGUGCAGCCCAUCGACACCGAGCGCAGCCGGUUGUGCUUGUUCUCUCCCCGUCUGCAGUUGAGCCCGGACCCUGGAAUAGAAAGACAGUUCUCCGUUGGACUGGCAGAAAGGGAAGGCAGACUCCUCGGUUCCCGAGGAGAGCGGAGCGGCUGCUCUAGUGAAGAAAUGAAGAAUCAAAGAAGUAAAGGAUCUAUUUCAAAAUCACAUAACUAUUUCUGAGGCUUGCCUCUAUCCUGUUGAAGAAAACAUGGCAGAGCAAAGCAGUCUACACCAUCAUGGCUAGG